rnacentral:tRNA from 2 species
GGAGGGAUGGCAGAGCGGUAAUGCAGCGGAUUGCUAAUCCGUGAACCCGAUAGGGUUCCGGGGGUUCGAGUCCCCCUCCCUCCGCCA